rnacentral:rRNA from 1 species
CUUGUACACACCGCCCGUCACACCAUGGGAGUGGGUUCCACCAGAAGUAGUUAGCCUAACCGCAAGGGGGGCGACUACCACGGUGAGAUUCAUGACUGGGGUGAAGUCGUAACAAGGUACCC